GGUUUCUAUUUUAUAUAUUCUGCUCUACCUGCUGCUCGGGGAAAGCCCUUGAGACAGGCUUUGUGGCCUUUGGACAGCCCCUCAAGGUCAGUGUCAGUCCACUGGAGCUGCUGUAAUAAACAAACUAGGUUGCAUUUCGACAACAGGAGUCUAUUCCUCACAGCCCUGGGGAAGAACGUCCAGUACCAAGAGAUUCGUUGUCAACUACUCUUAAAGGCUGGGCCUCACCCAAGAGCUUUGUAACUGGCCAAAGUCCCAAUCCUCUCAGAGGGUUCUUCUGACACUUGCUCGGAAUUUCCAAAAUUGCAGCCUUCUACAAGCCUUCCAAGCAGGCUCCAUGAACUAACUCUCCUUGACCAUUGAACUGCGCACUUGGGCACAAUGUAUAGAGGCUCUCCAUGGCUUUCGUAGCCUCACAUCCUAUGGCCUGCAACCCUAUAGAACCAGAACCUCCUCGAGAGCAGGGACAGAAUGAGUCCAGCUCAUUUCUAUCACCAGAUCCCAGUGUCCAGCCUGGCACCGUGAUCAUUCAACCAGCUUCUGGUUCAGUUAUUUUCUAGCUUCCUGACUAGAAUACAGAGAGCCUUUUGCCAUACUUGCUCAGCUCCCCGGAGUGCAGAAGAGUACCUGGCCCCCCGUAUGCGCCUAACAGACAUUUGCAGGGCGCAUGGAUGAAUGGAUUGAAUCACAACACAGUAGCGGAAGUGUGAUCUGGGAGCUAUGAGUAUAUCAUUCCAGACGCCAUUUAUUUGAGAAGAAUGCUGGCAGAAACUUAGCUGAAGAGGAGAAAAUGAAGCUGGGCCCUGAAGGAUAACUCAACGAAGAAGUCAGGGCUGAUGGGGACAGAUGUCAGGCAAGAGAGGCAGGGCCAUGUUGAGAUAAACAGACCCAACAGGGAAGGGACGAUUCGAUUUGAGGCAGUGCACCAUGGGAGAUGAAUCUAGACAGGUGGCUUAAAGCUAUGUAAAGGGUCCAAGAUACUGUCAUGAUGGUUAGGAUUUUGUUGGAAGGCUGCUGCAGGCUUUUAUAGACAGAGCAUCAGAUCUCCCCUAGAGAAACUGUGUGGUGGAUACAUAGUCUGUGGCAGGAGAGGACGAAACUGAGGAUCCUGCUAUUGCCGAGAUGGUAAGAGAUAGGUGUGGGGGAGUCUAGAGUCUCAUUGUAUCAUCUUGGGCAUCGCACAGUGGAGAUGUUCUGUGCAUCUAGUGAGCAGAGGCAUGGACGUGCACAGGAUAGUGCCCCCAACCCUGAGAAACACCCAGCCCAGUGCUAACCAUACCAAGCCUAGCGCCCUUACAAGAAUGACUAGCAGACUGGAGAUAGGCACAGGAAGUGAAUUUCUGCCUUGCUGCUGCUGAGACAGCAAUUCCACAGUGCUACAAAUUUGGAAUCAGGGUUGCAAGUUCAAGGGAGGCCUGGGACCCUUAGCAAGGCAUUGUCUCAAAGUGAAAAACAGAAGGGCUUGAGAUUAAGCUAAAUAUUUACUUAGCCUGCCUGUGUGAAACUCCAGGUUUAACUCUGAACACCAAAUAAAUAAAGUAAAACACAGAAUCUAAAA